GAAACUUUCAAUUUAAACUUAAAUUAAAUUUGAAAUUUGACAGAAGAAUAAAGAUAAAAAUGAUUGUUAAAUCAAAUUACACAAACAUAACAGGCGGCACCGCGAUGUGCAUUCAUUGUGAGAAAACAAUUAAAACCAGCAGUAAUUCAUCGAAUUUGUCGUCCCACUUGCGCAAUAAGCAUAGCGAAAUUUUUCAAAAUGCGCGCAAAAAAAGCUGUCAGUGAACUUGGAAAGAGUACUUACAAUAUCUGAAUCCUUCAAGAGUGCUGAAGCCUUUAAAGAAAAUGGAAAUAAGACAAAGGAGAUUAAUGAAGCAAUUGUGUACAUGAUCUGUAAGGACAACGUGCGAGUCCGCUGUGUAGAAAAAGAGGGCCUCAAGAGACUUCUCAAAAAGUGUGUGCCGCAUUUUAAAAUGCCUUGCAGAUCCACGGGAAAUAACAACAAUGGUUGAAGAGAAGUACUACCAGUGCGUUGGAGCUGUGUUGAAAAUGCUAAGCAAUGCAAAUGACGUUGCGUUUACCUGCGAUGCCGUAACCAUACCGAACUCGAGUCGUUCGUUCCUUACCAUCACUGCGCAUUUUAUUGAAAAGGAUUCACUAAAUUCAAUCUGCCUUGCAUCGUCAAGAAUGAAUCAAAUUUCCGAUGUCACAAAACCGGAAGACUUUUUUGACGAUUUCAUGAGCGCACACAAUCACUCAAUCACAAAAGAAUUGAGCGGUGUGUCGGAGCAAAAUAAGGAGCUGAAACUAUACUUUAGAUUGCCCCAAGCUGCGCGGGAAUGUAACCCGCUGGAGGUGUGGAAAUCCCAUAGGGCGACCAUGCCGGGUCUUUACAAGAUGGCCAUGCGACAUCUUAUCACUCCAGGUAGCUCGGUGCCUUCAGAGCGGUUGGCAUCCGCAAUAAAAUGUGUAGCUUGCGAUGCUAGGAGCCGAAUGACGGACAUACACGUAAAGCAAAGAGUGUUUUUAAAAUCUUUAAAUUCUGCCAAUUGGGCUUGAUGUUACAUUUAGAUACAUAUAAGACAUAAGA